CUCCCCACGUCCCCAGCGCUGCUUGCCUGUUUUUUAUCAACAGACAAAUAAUUGCCUUAUUGAUUGACCUACCCAAUUUUGAGUCUUUUCCGCCUAUCAGUUGGCGAGCGCCAGCCAGGAGUCAGUCCUCUGUCCGGCUGCGGGAGCGAGACGGGGAGCGGAUUCCCUGAGACGAGCCCCAGGAUUUCCCUGAAGGGACUCCGUGAAUCGGAUCGCUCCACCGGGGACAGACAACGACCUGCUGGUCCGCGGAUAAACGCAGAUCCACUGAUUAUAAAAAUGAAGCAGAGUGAAGAAGAGAAAGAGGUGAAAUUUUUGGUUGACACGGAGGCAACAUACUCAGUUUUAAAUGAAGCUUUAAUGUCUGUGAAAGAUAAGUAUGUAGUGGUAAAAGGGGAACUGGCCAAACCGAAAAAGCAUAUUUCUGUAAGCCUUUAAAGUAUAAAUAUAGAAAAAAAUGGGGCAUUCAUAAGUUUCUGUAUAUGCCCAACUCCCCAGACCCGCUCCUGAGGAGGGAUUUAUUGGCAUAAUUAUAAGCAACCAUUAUAUUUAAAGAAAAUGGGGAGAUUACUCUGGAGGUAAAUGAUCAAAAAUAAGUUUAAUACUAACAAUGAUUAAAACUGAAGGAGAAAUUAGUGAAGAAAUAAUGAACCAAGUAUUUCCUGGAGUAUGGGCCUCUGAUAUACCAGGGAGGGCGAAGAAUGUACCUCCUAUAUUAAUCAAACUAAAGGAAGGAAAAAGCCAGUCAGAGAUAAACAGUACCCCCUGAAAAAGGAAGACAGAGAAGGAAUUGGCCCAAUAAUUGAGAACUUUCUGCAAUUAAGAUUGUUAUCUUUACCAUGUAGUAGACAACACAUAUACUCUGUUAACAUGCUUGAUACCUGAGCUAACCUGGUUUACCGUUUUAGAUUUGAGAGAUGCCUUCUUUUGCCUCCCUCUCCAUGAAGCCAGCCAGAAAAUUUUUGCCUUUGAAUGGCAAAGCCCUAAGAGCAGGUGCAAAACACAUCUCACUUGGACACGGUCGCCUCAAGGUUUUAAGAACUCACCCACUUUGUUCAGAGAACAACUUGCAAAGGACCUGGAGGCUUGGGAAGCCCCAUCAGGAGAAGAAAGGCUGUUGCAGUAUGUAGAUGACCUCCUUAUAGCCACCCAGACAGAAGAAGCCUGUGUGGCCUGGAUGGUAAGCCUCCUAAAUUUUCUGGGACUCCAGGGGUACAGGGUAUCAAAGAAGAAGGUUCUUGUGUUUGCCCCAGCUCUGGGUCUGCCAGAUGUAAGUAAACCAUUCUUCCUAUUUUCCCAUGAAAAACAGGGGAUUGCCCUGAGGAUACUAGUCCAAAAUCUGGGGCCAUAUCGAAGGGCAGUUACUUCCUUUUCUAAGCAGCUAGAUGCGAUGGCCAAGGGCUGGACAAGAUGCCUCCAAGCUGUAGCAGCAGUUGUGCUAAACAUCCAGGGAGCUCGUAAAUUCACCUUGGGCCAGAAAAUGAUUGUGCUAGUGUCUCACAGUGUCCACAGUGCUGGAAGUGAAAGGUGGCCAUUGGCUUUCCCCACAGAGAUUCCUGAAAUACAAAGUCAUUAUAGCAGAACAAGACGAGGUAAAAAUAGUGGUAACUAACAUUGUCAACCCAGCUUCUUUCCUCAGUGGAAACCAAGGGGAAUCCAUACACCAUGACUGCCUGGAAACCAUCGAAGCCACCUACUCCAGCCAUCCAGACCUGAAGGACACCCUCCUUGAAACCUGUUUCACGGAUGGGAGCAGUUACGUCAUCAGUGGAAAGCGACAUGCCGGGUAUGCAGUUACUACCUGCAAAGAGGUAACAGAAUCGUGACCUUUACCAGUAGGCACCUCUGCACAAAAGGCGAAGAUAAUUGCUCUAACCAGUGCCUUGGAAAUGGAAAAAAUGAAAGAAAACAAACAUUUAUACAGACUCAAGAUAUGCAUUUGGGGUUGUACAUGCACAUGGAGCCAUUUGGAAGGAAAGAGGACUGUUGAUUUCGCAAGGGAAAAACAUCAAACAUGCACAGGAAAUAAUACAACUACUAGAAGCAGUUCAGCUACCUGAGAAGGUAGCAAUCAUGCAUAUUAAGGCACACCAGAAGGUGAGCUCAGAAUUGGAGGAAGGAAACAAGUUGGUGGACAGAGGCAAAAGAAGCAGCAAAAGGUGAGGUAGCAACUGAGGGAACCUUGAUUCCAGAUGGACAGGUUUCCCUUGAAGGUAAGCCAGUAUAUAAUAAAGAGGAUAGGUAAGUAAUUAAAAGUCAAAGAGGAAAAUAUAACUGAGAGGGAUGGGCUGUUACUAAAAAAAAAAGGGAGGCUAGUCUUCCCCUCUAAUUUAUUGUGGUCACUGGUAAAGGAAGAACACCCAAAAACAUACUGGGGAGUAGAGGCCUUGUAUGACUACUUAAUUGAAAGAGUUGUUGCUAGGAAAUUAUAUGCCACUGUCACUCAAGUGACUUGGCAUUAUGAUCUUUGCCUCCAGACAAAACCCAAAACAUCCCCAAACCAAAACAUGGCAAAAUUAGAAAAGGCCAGGGGCCUGGACAACAAUGAACUUCCAAGAAAAGGAGGGCAUCAAUAUUUGUUGGUGCUAACAGAUACCUUUUCAGGAUGGCCCGAGGCUUUCCCCACUAGGACUGCAAAAGCUCGAGAGCUAAAAAAGGUACUGUUACAAGAGAUAAUACCAUGCUUUGGAGUUCCAGUCACCAUGUCCUCCGAUAGAGGAUCGCAUUUUAAAUAGAAAAACACGAGGCUGGAACUCAAAGUGUAAGGCUUGAUGGACCAGCGCAUGACAUAUAGGGUGGAGAUUAUGUGUAUGUUAAGUCUCUUGCAGAAAAAACCUUGAAACCACAGUGGGAAGUGUAAUGGAAUGUGCUUUGUUAAUCAAAUCUUGCUCAAUAAGUGAUUACACAGACAGACGCUGAGUGCAAAGGGUUACUUGUUAGCCACCACUUCCUGUUCAGUAAACAAGGAAGAGCUCCAUGAGAUGAAACAAUACCAGAGGGGACGUGCGCUGACUGCAGGGUCAUUCCGGGGGCAGCUGAGGAAGACAACCAGGUCUUCAUCAAUGACCACCAGGAGGACAGAAACAACCCCCUAGCAACUACUUGUGCAUGCUUGAAAGAAAUGCAGAGUACUCCGGUAAAUCAGAUCGGGACACGAAGAAAACCAGAGGAAAGAUUGUAUAAAAGGGUCCCUGAAAAUGUUCUCUAGUGCGAGCCGUUGGUGGAGCACUGACUCCCCAGGCACCCAGCGCUGUUUUGUUCAG